rnacentral:rRNA from 1 species
GAAGGUCACGGCGAGACGAGCCGUUUAUCAUUAACGAUAGGUGUCAAGUGGAAGUGCAGUGAUGUAUGGAUUCCUAACAGACCGGUAGACUUGAAC